GCUUUCGGGACAGCUUAGAGUCUGGAUGUAGCCAUCCAGUUUGCUCUUGGGUGAACUGUGACCUGUGACUUUUCCCAGAGCACUCUGAUUUUGGGCUGGCUGGUAGCUGCUGGGGGGUGGGGGGGAGCCUGCUAGAAAUCAGUCACUUCUCCUGGAGGUAGGGAUGAGGAGACUUCCUGGCUCCAUGUGGUCCCUGUACCUGCGUUGUCCACUAGGAAGUAUGGCUUAUGUGCAAGAUAGGACAAUUUAGAUGAUGGCUGUGAACAGUACUGAGGGAGAUCAACCACCCCAGUCCUGACAAAGCCUCAGGAAGAACUGGAGGUACUCGCCCUGGCCCUGUGCCCCAUCCAGUAAGCUGGUCCCAAUUCCCGCUCCCAGCUGUCGCUAUGGAGAUGGCCUUGCUUCUCCUCCUCUUUGGGGGCUUCUGGGCCCAAGUGGUGAGCCAAGAAAAUCUGCAGAAUAUGUCGAUGUUGCCAUUUUCUCUGCAUAGCACAUCCCCAAUUGCUAUGCUGCCAGGGACCGUGGACCCAAAGGAGAGUAUCAGCCCCUGGAGGCAGACCCCAGUCCCAGCUUCCUUGACCCCCUUGGGAACUCCAGAAUUGUUUUCUUUUGAGACACCAGCUGAUACCAGCAGGAGCACCCCAGUAACUGAGCCUACAACCUCUCAGGACAUUUCCAACACGGAAUUAUCAAUACUGGCUCAAAAAUUAUCAGAUGUACUUAGUGACCCUCCUGUCACCAUAACUAAUCCUGUGACAAUCAGAACCUCUUUAGAAACCUUUACAGGGAGUAGUGCACCUCCCGUGACUGUGACAACAAGCUCUACCACGGCCAGUGGACAAUCUGUGGCUAUAACUGUAAGCUCUGAGAGCAGUGGCCCUCCAGUCACUAUGACUAUUGGUGGCACCCCAGGCUCUGGUACAAAAAUAUCCAGGUCUACCCCAAAUGCCACAACCACCAUGUCACCACGCCAAGGAUUUAGUGCCAUGGGGCUGCUCCCCCUGCUCAUUGCCUUGGUGGUGGUUUUGGCCCUCAUUAUUGUACUGCGGCUGUGGCACCAGAGGCAGAAGGGAAGGAACCUGAGCAGAGGUGGAAUACUAAAUAGGUUGAUGGAUGCCUGGGCUGGGUCAGCCCGGGUUCCUGAUGAAGAGAACACAACCGGAACAGCGAGAGGGAGCAACAAGUGCUCUGGAGCACCAGAGACUGACAGCUGUGGUCGUCGGCCCAAUGUCUGCACUUUCUUCAGCAGAUGGAAGUCUAGCCAGGGCUCCUUAGAAGAGCUGAAACCUGGGAAGGAUCCAAACCUGAAGGAGGAGAAAGAGCCUCUGGUAGGCAGUGAGGACAAAGCUAUGGAAACCCCAACUUCUGACAAGCCACAAGUAAAAGAUGGGGCUGCACCUCAAUCCCAAUGAGUAGCUGUAUUCACCUAGUCUGCUCCUUAACCCCAAAUCUGUUGUCAGCUGCCUCACACUCUGCAUUUGUGAAUAUUUGUGGACCAG
rnacentral:lncRNA from 1 species